rnacentral:rRNA from 1 species
CCUACGGGUGGCUGCAGUGGGGAAUAUUGGGCAAUGGGCGCAAGCCUGACCCAGCAACGCCGCGUGAAGGAAGAAGGCUUUCGGGUUGUAAACUUCUUUUGUCAGGGACGAAGCCAGUGACGGUACCUGACGAAUAAGCCACGGCUAACUACGUGCCAGCAGCCGCGGUAAUACGUAGGUGGCAAGCUUUAUCCGGAUUUACUGGGUGUAAAGGGCGUGUAGGCGGGACUGCAAGUCAGAUGUGAAAACCACGGGCUCAACCUGGGGCCUGCAUGUGAAACUGGAGUUCUUGAGUACUGUAGAGGCAGACGGAAUUCCUAGUGUAGCGGUGAAAUGCGUAGAUAUGAGGAGGAACACCAGUGGCGAAGGCGGUCCGCUGGACAGCUACUGACGCUGAGGCGCGAAAGCGUGGGGAGCAAACAGGAUUAGAUACCCCGGUAGUC